CCGUGUGCGUACAAGCAGUAGGAGCCUCGCAAGGGGUGACUGCGUACCUUUUGUAUAAUGGGUCAGCGACUUACUGUUCGUGGCAAGCUUAACCGUAUAGGGGAGGCGAAGGGAAACCGAGUCUGAUAAGGGCGCAUAGUCGCGGGCAGUAGACCCGAAACCGGGUGAUCUAGUCAUGGCCAGGGUGAAGGUGCCGUAACAGGUACUGGAGGCCCGAACCCACGUCUGUUGCAAAAGACGGGGAUGAGCUGUGAUUAGGAGUGAAAAGCUAAUCGAACCCGGAGAUAGCUGGUUCUCCUCGAAAGCUAUUUAGGUAGCGCCUCAUAUGUAUCCUCUCGGGGGUAGAGCACUGUUAUGGCUAGGGGGUCAUCGCGACUUACCAAACCAUUGCAAACUCCGAAUACCGAGACGGACUGUAUGGGAGACACACGGCGGGUGCUAACGUCCGUCGUGAAAAGGGAAACAACCCAGACCCACAGCUAAGGUCCCAAAUUUUGUGCUAAGUGGAAAACCAUGUGGAAAGGCACAGACAGCCAGGAGGUUGGCUUAGAAGCAGCCACCCUUUAAAGAAAGCGUAAUAGCUCACUGGUCGAGUCGGUCUGCGGGGAAGAUUUAACGGGGCUAAGCACAGAACCGAAGCUUGGGGUGUGCAUAUUUAUAUGUACGCGGUAGAGGAGCGUUCCGUAAGCCGUUGAAGGUGGAUUGAGAAGUCUGCUGGAGGUAUCGGAAGUGCGAAUGCUGACAUGAGUAACGAUAAUGCGGGUGAAAAACCCGCACGCCGAAAGCCCAAGGUUUCCUUGCGCAACGUUAAUCGGCGCAGGGUGAGUCGGCCCCUAAGGCGAGGACGAAAGUCGUAGUCGAUGGGAAGCAGGUUAAUAUUCCUGCACCUCGCGUAAGUGCGAUGGAGGGACGGAGAAGGUUAGGCAUACCGGGCGUUGGUUGUCCCGGGGAAAGGCGGUAGGUUUGGAUCUUUGGCAAAUCCGGGAUCCUUCAAGACCGAGCACCGAGACGAGCCUUUAUGGCGAAGUUGCUGAUACCACGCUUCCAGGAAAAGCUCCUAAGCUUCAGCUUACGCAGACCGUACCGUAAACCGACACAGGUGGGUAGGAUGAGAAUUCUCAGGCGCUUGAGAGAACUCGGGUGAAGGAACUAGGCAACAUGGCACCGUAACUUCGGGAGAAGGUGCACCCUUUUUGGUGGCUCGUGCGAGCUAUAGCUGAAGAGGGUCGCAGUAACCAGGCCGCUGCGACUGUUUAUCAAAAACACAGCACUCUGCAAACACGAAAGUGGACGUAUAGGGUGUGACGCCUGCCCGGUGCUGGAAGGUUAAUUGAUGGGGUCAGCCGCAAGGCGAAGCUCUUGAUCGAAGCCCCAGUAAACGGCGGCCGUAACUAUAACGGUCCUAAGGUAGCGAAAUUCCUUGUCGGGUAAGUUCCGACCUGCACGAAUGGCGUAACGACAGCGGCGCUGUCUCCACCCGAGACUCAGUGAAAUUGAAAUCGCUGUGAAGAUGCAGCGUUCCCGUGGCAAGACGGAAAGACCCCGUGAACCUUUACUAUAGCUUUACACUGAACGUUGAGUUCGUCUGUGUAGGAUAGGUGGGAGGCUAUGAAACCAUGGCGCUAGCUGUGG
rnacentral:rRNA from 2 species